GUGGGGUAACGGCCUACCAAGGCGUCGACGGGUAGCUGGUCUGAGAGGACGGACAGCCACACUGGGACUGAGACACGGCCCAGACUCCUACGGGAGGCAGCAGUGGGGAAUAUUGCGCUAAUGCGCGAAAGCGUGACGCAGCGACGCCGCGUGGGGGAUGAAGGCCCUCGGGUCGUAAACCCCUUUCGCCAGGGACGAAGGGAAACUGACGGUACCUGGAGAAGAAGUCCCGGCUAACUACGUGCCAGCAGCCGCGGUAACACGUAGGGGACGAGCGUUGUCCGGAAUUAUUGGGCGUAAAGAGCGCGUAGGCGGUCGUGCAAGUCGGAUGUGAAAAUCCCGGGCUCAACCCGGGACGUGCACCCGAUACUGCUCGACUUGAGGUAGGUAGGGGAGAUCGGAAUUCCUGGUGUAGCGGUGAAAUGCGCAGAUAUCAGGAGGAACACCGGUGGCGAAGGCGGAUCUCUGGGCCUUACCUGACGCUGAGGCGCGAAAGCUAGGGGAGCGAACAGGAUUAGAUACCCUGGUAGUCCUAGCCGUAAACGUUGGGUGCUAGGUGUGGGUGGACAUCGACCCCAUCCGUGCCGAAGCUAACGCAUUAAGCA
rnacentral:rRNA from 1 species